AUCAAUAAGCGGAGGAAAAGAAACCAACAGGGAUUGCCUUAGUAACGGCGAGUGAAGCGGCAACAGCUCAAAUUUGAAAUCUGGCCCUUGGGUCCGAAUUGUAAUUUGUAGAGGAUGAUUUUGGUGCGGUAUCUUCCGAGUUCCUUGGAACAGGACGCCUUAGAGGGUGAGAGCCCCGUACGGUUGAAUGCCUAGCCUCUGUAAAUCUCCUUCGACGAGUCGAGUAGUUUGGGAAUGCUGCUCUAAAUGGGAGGUAAAUUUCUUCUAAAGCUAAAUAUUGGCCAGAGACCGAUAGCGCACAAGUAGAGUGAUCGAAAGAUGAAAAGCACUUUGAAAAGAGGGUUAAAUAGCACGUGAAAUUGUUGAAAGGGAAGGAUUUGUGACCAGACUUUUUCUGGGCGGAUCAUCCGGGGUUCUCUCCGGUGCACUUCGCCCAGUAAAGGCCAGCAUCGGUUUUCGGCGUGGGAUAAAAGCAGUAGGAAUGUGGCUCUCUACGGGGAGUGUUAUAGCCUAUUGUAUAAUACCGCGCUGGGGACCGAGGUUCGCGCUUCUGCAAGGAUGCUGGCGUAAUGGUUAUCAAUCACCCGUCUUGAAACACGGACCAAGGAGUCGAACAUUUGUGCGAGUGUUUGGGUGUUAAACCCUCACGCGUAAUGAAAGUGAACGGAGGUGAGAGCCCUUACGGGUGCAUCAUCGACCGAUCCUGAAGUUUUCGGAUGGAUUUGAGUAAGAGCAUAACUGUUCGGACCCGAAAGAUGGUGAACUAUGCGUGGAUAGGGUGAAGCCAGAGGAAACUCUGGUGGAGGCUCGCAGCGGUUCUGACGUGCAAAUCGAUCGUCAAAUCUGCGCAUGGGGGCGAAAGACUAAUCGAACCAUCUAGUAGCUGGUUACCGC
rnacentral:rRNA from 1 species